rnacentral:rRNA from 1 species
GACGAACGCUGGCGGCGUGCUUAACACAUGCAAGUCGAACGGUGAAACAGAGCUUGCUCUGUGGAUCAGUGGCGAACGGGUGAGUAACACGUGAGCAACCUACCCUUGACUCUGGGAUAACAGUUGGAAACAGCUGCUAAUACCGGAUAUUUACCCCGGCAGGCAUCUGCUGGGGUAGAAAGCUCCGACGGUCAAGGAUGGGCUCGCGGCCUAUCAGCUUGUUGGUGAGGUAACGGCUCACCAAGGCGUCGACGGGUAGCCGGCCUGAGAGGGCGACCGGCCACACUGGGACUGAGAUACGGCCCAGACUCCUACGGGAGGCAGCAGUGGGGAAUAUUGCGCAAUGGGGGAAACCCUGACGCAGCAACGCCGCGUGCGGGAUGAAGGCCUUCGGGUUGUAAACCGCUUUCAGCAGGGACGAAGGGUUUCUGACGGUACCUGCAGAAGAAGCACCGGCUAACUACGUGCCAGCAGCCGCGGUGAUACGUAGGGUGCGAGCGUUGUCCGGAAUUAUUGGGCGUAAAGAGCUUGUAGGCGGUCCGUCACGUCGGAAGUGAAAACUCAGGGCUUAACCCUGAGCCUGCUUUCGAUACGGGCAGACUUGAGGGAUGUAGGGGAGAACGGAAUUCCUGGUGGAGCGGUGGAAUGCGCAGAUAUCAGGAGGAACACCAGUGGCGAAGGCGGUUCUCUGGACAUUACCUGACGCUGAGAAGCGAAAGCGUGGGGAGCAAACA